UACGGAGGGGGCAAGCGUUGUCCGGACUUACUGGGCGUAAAGAGUGCGUAGGCGGUUUUCUAAGUUUGGUGUGAAAUCUCCCGGCUUAACUGGGAGGGUGCGCCGAAGACUGGAAGGCUUGAGUAUGGGAGAGGUAAGCGGAAUUCCUGGUGUAGCGGUGAAAUGCGUAGAUAUCAGGAGGAACACCUGCGGUGUAGACGGCUUACUGGACCAUCACUGACGCUGAGGCACGAAAGCGUGGGUAGCAAACAGG
rnacentral:rRNA from 1 species